GACAGAGGGUGCAAACGUUGUUCGGAAUUACUGGGCGUAAAGCGAGUGUAGGCGGUCUGCUAAGUCGGGUGUGAAAGCCCUGGGCUCAACCCAGGAAGUGCACUCGAAACUGGCAGGCUAGAGUACUGGAGAGGUUGGUGGAAUUCUCGGUGUAGAGGUGAAAUUCGUAGAUAUCGAGAGGAACACCGGUGGCGAAGGCGGCCUUCUGGACAGUGACUGACGCUGAGACGCGAAAGCGUGGGGAGCAAACAGG
rnacentral:rRNA from 1 species